CUGGGGAGGUUAGCCAGGGAGGCCUUUUCAUUUCUGCUGGCCCAUGACGGUGAACUAACUUAUAGGAGAUGGUACUGCCUUCCAGAAAAUUUUGGAGAGGGGGUACAGUUAUCACAGCUUCCCAGAGGGUGCCCUGGGACACCAAGGAGAUCUGCCUUGCCUAUUGUCCAAUAGCUCAUAUGUGUUCCACGAGAGAUUUGAACCUUGAGAAAUUCUCCACUCUGAUGAGAUCAUAAGACCAGCCAAAGCAAAACAAAUCCAGUCGAGACCAGGCCAAUCAAGACCAGAGAAGCCUCACCGAAGCAUGGAAGCCCAAACUCCUGGGCUGUACUGCCUGACCUCUGAGAAUUUUGGGGAUUCUACCCCGUAAGCCACUGUAGGAAGUGACUGCCCCUCUCCAUUUUGUUUCUGUCAAUGAAUUGCAGGGUCAUUUCCACAGAGUGAAUCACAGAACUGAUUGACAGCUGCUCUUUCCCAGGCAGGCUGCCGCCCUGGGUGCAGGCUGCCAGGUAUGGUGCUGCCUCAUUUCCAUUCAGCUGAGACUUACUGGUCUUUCAUCUCCAUAGCCCAGGCAUCCUCUCUUUCCUC
rnacentral:lncRNA from 1 species